AUUGAACGCUGGCGGCAAGCCUAACACAUGCAAGUCGAGCGGGAACUUCGGUUCUAGCGGCGGACGGGUGAGUAAUGCGUAGGAAGCUACCCGACAGAGGGGGAUACCAGUUGGAAACGACUGUUAAUACCGCAUAAUGUCUACGGACCAAAGUGUGGGACCUUCAGGCCACAUGCUGUCGGAUGCGCCUACGUGAGAUUAGCUAGUUGGUGAGGUAAUGGCUCACCAAGGCGACGAUCCCUAGCUGGUUUGAGAGGAUGAUCAGCCACACUGGAACUGAGACACGGUCCAGACUCCUACGGGAGGCAGCAGUGGGGAAUAUUGGACAAUGGGCGAAAGCCUGAUCCAGCCAUGCCGCGUGCGUGAAGAAGGCCUUCGGGUUGUAAAGCACUUUCAGUAGGGAGGAAGAGUUGAGUGUUAAUAGUACUCAGCUUUGACGUUACCUACAGAAGAAGCACCGGCUAACUCUGUGCCAGCCGCCGCAGUAAUAA
rnacentral:rRNA from 1 species